rnacentral:rRNA from 1 species
GACGAACGCUGGCGGCGUGCUUAACACAUGCAAGUCGAACGGAAAGGCCCUGCUUUUGUGGGUUGCUCGAUUGGCGCACGGGUGAGUAACACGUGAGUAACCUCCCCUUGACUUUGUGGUAACACCAGGAAAAUGCGGCUCAUACCGGAUAGGAGCUCCUGCUGCAUGUGGGUGGUUGGAAAGAUUCGGCGGUGCGGGCUGGACUCGAGGCUUAUCCGCUUGUUGGUGGGGUAGGUGCUGACCAAGGCUUUGAAGGGUAGCCGGCCUGAGAGCUUGGACGGGCACAUGGGGCCUGCGAUAGGGCGCAGACUGCUACGUGCGGCAGCAGGCGGAAAUAUUGCACAAUGGGCGGACGCCUGAGGCAGCAACCCUGCGAGCGGAAUGACGUCCUUCGGGUGAUAAACAGCUUUGGCCGUUGCUGAGGCGGGAUUGACGGUAAUGAGUAAGGAAGCACCGGCUAACUACGUG